rnacentral:rRNA from 1 species
ACUCUCGACAAUGGAUAUCUUAGCUAUCAGAUCGAAGAAUAAUGUGGAAAAAUAUGAUACUUAGUGUAAAUUGUAGAAUCCUAUGAACCAUCGAGUCUUUGAAAACAAAUUAUGCCUGAAGCCAUUAGAUCGAGGGAACUUCUGCCUAGGCAUCAUGCAUCGUGUUUCCCGCCUGCAUUGCUCCUUAAUCAUAGGUUAUGCUAUUGUUGUGGGGUGGAUACUGGACUCUCUUGGACCAAGAACUUGAAACUGGCCUAAAUAUGAGUGCACGUCGAUGGUGGUUAUGGAAAGUGGUGGUUAUAACUUAACUCUCUUUGUUAUCAUGGCUAUAAACUGUUGUACAUCCGGACUCCAGGACCCUAUUGCUCUUAGGUACUCCGAUUGUGACCCCAGGUCAGGCGAGAUUACUUGUUGAGUAUACCAAUAUCAAUAAGAAAAAGAAAAAAAAACUUAUAAGGAUACCUUGGUAAUAGCGAGCGAACUGGGAAAAACCCAGGCUUAGAAUGUGGUUGCUCUAUCAUCCAAAUUGUAGUAUGGAGAAGAGUCCUCAGUGGAGGAUUAGUCCCAAGUACCCUGGAAGGGGGACAAGACAAGGUGAGAGCCCCAUUAUGCUCAGACCAUGUCGCACCAUGAGGCAUGUCUAUGAGUCUGGUUAUUUGGCAAUGUAGCCUUAAUCUAGCAGCGAAUUUCAUCCAAGGAUAAAUAUAGGUGAGAUACUGAUAGCAAAUAAGUACUUUGACAGAAAAAUGAAAUGGAUUUUUAAAAGAGAGUCAAAGAGUGCUUGAAACUGUCAGAAGAGAAGCAGAUGAGGGAUGGUGGAACGAUGAUGAGCUGGUCUGCUGAUCGACUUGGGGCAUGGACUAGUUAGAUUAGGGAGGCAUUCAAAGCUCGAGCUUUCGAUACGCUCGUCGAAUAUCACAUCCUUAAUUGUAGCAAGCAGUGCACACCUCUGGUGUACAUUCAUAUCUGUGCACUCCAGACACUACCAUGUGGGCUCCCCAUUCGAACCAUCUUCAAACACCGACCAAAGAGUCUGAUAUGUGUGUGAGUCAAUGGGCGAUUAAACCCCUAAGGUAUAAGGAAAAUGAUUGGUAGGAUCCCUCUGAGGGGUACACCGCUUACCGACCAUGAUCUUCUGAGUAGGGUACGAGUGUGAGCAUACCUAUCGGGACCUAAAAGAUGGUGUACUAUACUUGAGCGGGGCGAAGGAACAGGAAACUCUGGUGGUGGCCCACAGUGAUACUGACGUGAAAAUCAUUUGUUUGACUUCUGUAUAGGGGUAAAACACCAAUCAAACCAUCUAGUAGCAGGUUCUAUCUGAAGUUUCCCUCAGGAUAUCUGGAACUCGCAUGUAAGUUCUAUUAGGUAAAGCUAGUGAUUAGAGGGAUCGGGGGCGCAACGCUCUUGACCUAUUCUCAAACUUUAAAUAGGUAGGAUGGUGUGGCUCCAUUGUUGUGCCGAGCAAAGCUCUAAGUAGGACCUUCUUUGUAAGCAGAGCUGGCGAUACAGAAUGAACCAGAAGCCAAGUUAUGGUCCCAAACAACAUGCUGAACUAGAUCCCACAAAGGGUGUUGUUCAAUUAAUACAACAGUACGUAGGUCACGGAAGUCUAAAUACACUAAGGAGCGUGCAAUAACUCACCUACCGAAUCAACUAGCCUCAAAAAUAGAUUUCAUUUAAGCGCAUGACCAACUCCUGGUCGCCGGGGAAAAUGCAAGGCCCCAAUGAGUAGGAGGGUGCAGUGGUCACUUUAAAACCUUGGGCACGAGCCCAAGCAGAGUAGCCAUCGGUGCAAAUCUUGGUGAUAGUAGUAAAUAUUAAAAUGAGAACUUUGAAGGCUGAAGAGAAAAAAGAUUCCAUGUUAACGACAGUUGCGUAUGGGUUAGUCUAUCUUAAUGGUAAGGGCAAUUAAAAAGUCCAGAGACAUCGGCGGGAGCUUCAGGAAGAGUUAUCUUUUCUUUUUAACAGUAUGCCCACCCUGUAAUAGGCUCAGUCAGAGGUUGGGACCUAUGGAUGGAAGAGCAUCACACAUCGCAUAGUGUUCCGUGUGCUCUUGGAGGCCCUUGAAAAUCCAGAUUAUCAAAUGCCGUGCAUGUUCGGUCGUACUCAUAACCACAUCACGUUUCCAAAGUGAACAACCUUUGGCUCUGUGGGCUGGGCAUCGGGGUCCUAAUCUCAAAGAAGUCAGCUAUCGAUUGACAACUCGAGCUGCUCCCGUGGUGAGAGCGGGUCAGCGCAUAUCGGUCGGGGGACAAACUGGGAAUAGUUCCUUUAGGGGCAUUUACUGUUCAUGAAAUAGCCAACUCAAAACUGGUAUGGCCAAGAGAAAUCAAAAUUUUUUAUUAAAACAAAUAAUUGCGAUGGUCACAAUGGAUGUUCACGCAAUGUGAUUUCUGCCCAGUAUUCUGAAUGUCAAAGUGAAGUAAUUCAACCAUGCACGGGUAAACGGUGGGAGAAACUAUGACUAUUUUAUGUUAGAAAAAUUCCUUAUUAUCUAAUUAGUAAUGCACAUGGAUGGAUUAGCGAGAUUACACCUGUCUACUAUAUAGCGAAACCACAGCUAAUGGAACGGGCUUGGCAGAAUCAAUGGAGAAAGAAGACCUUGUUGAGCUUGACUCUAGUCUGCCUUUUUUAAAUGACUUGAGAGGUGAAGUAUAAGUGAGAUACAAACGACGAGAGUGAACUAAUACUACUUUUAACAUUAUUUUACUAAUUUCGUGAAUCGAAAGUAGGGCAUUACCCCUUUUUUUUGACCCAAGGCUCACUCUACAGGCUGAUCCAAAUAGAAGACAUUGUUAGGUAUGGAGUUUGGCUGCGGUGAUGCUUCUGCUAAAAUAUAACGUAGGUGCCCUAAAAUGAGCUUCACGAGAAUAGAAAUCUUGGGUGGAAAAGAAAGGUAAAAGCUCAUUUGAUUCUGAUUUCCAGUAUGAAUAUAAACUGUAAAAAUCUAGCCUAACGAUCCUUUAGACCUUCAAAAUUUGGAGAAAGAGGUGUCAGGAAAGUUACCACAGGGAUAACUCACUUGUGGAAGCCAAUCAUUUAUAGCAAUGUUGCUUUUUGAUCUUUUGAUGUCGGCUCUUCCUAUUACUGUGAAGCAGAAUUCACCAAGUGUUGGAUUGUUCACCCACCAAUACGGAAUGUGAGUUGGGUUUAUACCAUCAUGAGAAGUUAUUUUUACCCUACUGAUGACAAUGUCGCAAUAGUAAUUCAACUAAAUAUGAGAGGAACAAUUGAUUCACAUAAUUGGACAUCGCACUUGGUUGAAAAGAUAGUGGGGCAAAGCUACAGUGUGCUGGAUUAUGACUGAAUGCCUCUGAAUCAAAAUCUAGGCUAGAAGAAAUACAUGUAACCGCCUUCCGCUUGU